rnacentral:rRNA from 1 species
UACGUAGGGUGCGAGCGUUUGUCCGGAAUUAUUGGGCGUAAAGAGCUUGUAGGCGGUUUGUCGCGUCUGCUGUGAAAAUCCGGGGCUCAACCCCGGACUUGCAGUGGGUACGGGCAGACUAGAGUGUGGUAGGGGAGACUGGAAUUCCUGGUGUAGCGGGUGAAAUGCGCAGAUAUCAGGAGGAACACCGAUGGCGAAGGCAGGUCUCUGGGCCACUACUGACGCUGAGAAGCGAAAGCAUGGGGGAGCGAACAGG